rnacentral:rRNA from 1 species
AUGCUCGGCGCGGCGCCGAACAAGAACCAGAAGCUGGCGCACGAGGGCGCAGCGCAUGACCUGAACCUCGCGUUCCCGCACCACCAAGGCGGGAUGCAGGCGCAGGCGGAUUACAUGGCGUUCCCGAGCCUGGAGAGCAGCAGCAUGUGCAACCCCGGCGGCGGCGCAAUGGCGGGCAAUGGCGCCCGGGCCGGUGGCGCGCUCUCCGCGAUGGAGCUGCUCCGGAGCACCGGCUGCUAUAUGCCGCUGCAGAUGCCGAUGCAGAUGCCCGGGGAGUACGGCGCCGCGGGGUUCUCGCUCGGGGAGUUCCGCGCGCCGGCGCCACCGCAGUCGCAGAGCUUGCUAGGCUUCUCGCUGGACGCGCACGGUCCGGUUGGCGGGGCUUCCACGGCGGGGUACGGCUCCAGUGCCGGGAUGCAAGGGAUGCAGGACAGGUCGGGCAGGUUGCCGUUCGCGUUCGAGGACUUGAAGCCGACGGCAAACUCUGGCGCCGGUGGCGGUGAGAGCGGUGGUGGUUCUGGCGCAGGCGUGGAUGGCGGCGACCAUCAGUUCGAGCCAGGCAACAAGGAGCAGCAAGGCAACGGCACCCCCGUUGGGCAGCCCGACACGCCGGGGUUCUGGAACGGCAUGAUCGGCGGCGGCGGCACCUGGUAA